rnacentral:rRNA from 1 species
GACGAACGCUGGCGGCGUGCUUAACACAUGCAAGUCGAACGGUAAGGCCCUUCGGGGUACACGAGUGGCGAACGGGUGAGUAACACGUGGGUGAUCUGCCCUGCACUUCGGGAUAAGCCUGGGAAACUGGGUCUAAUACCGGAUAGGACCACUGCCUGCAUGGGUGGUGGUGGAAAGCUUUUGCGGUGUGGGAUGGGCCCGCGGCCUAUCAGCUUGUUGGUGGGGUGAUGGCCUACCAAGGCGACGACGGGUAGCCGGCCGGAGAGGGUGACCGGCAACACUGGGGCUGAGAUACGGCCCAGACUCCUACGGGAGGCAGCAGUGGGGAAUAUUGCACAAUGGGCGCAAGCCUGUUGCAGCGACGCCGCGUGAGGGAUGACGGCCUUCGGGUUGUAAACCUCUUUCAGCACCGACGAAGCGCAAGUGACGGUAGGUGCAGAAGAAGGACCGGCCAACUACGUGCCAGCAGCCGCCGUAA